rnacentral:rRNA from 1 species
AUUGAACGCUGGCUGCAGGCCUAACACAAUCAAGUCGAGCGAGCGGCGGACGGGUGAGUAAUGUAUGGGUACCUCUCGAUAGAGGGGGAUAACUACUGGAAACGGUAGCUCAUGCCCCAUACUAUCCGAUAACCCAUAUGGGAUUAGCUAGUAGGUGAGGUAAUGGCUCACCUAGGCGACGAUCCCUAGCUGGUCUGCGAGGAUGAUCAGCAACACUGGGACUGAGACACGGCCCAGACUCCUACGGAGGCAGCAGUGGGGAAUAGUGCAAAAUGGGCGAAAGCCUGAUACAGCCAUGCCGCGUGUAUGAAGAAGGCCAUAGGGUUGUAAAGUACUUUCAGGCGGGAGGCGUUACCGACAGAAGAAGCACCGGCUAACUCCGUGCCAGCAGCCGCGGUAAUUC